CCAUACAGUUAAAGUAACAAGGUAAGAUCCAAGAGGAUCCUAGUUAAGUUACCUAUCGACUGUUUCCAACUUAUAACAGACACAGUGGAUCACAGGAUAAGUGGAAUGUAACACCAACUCCAAGGUAAAUGUUUUUACUUGUUACUGUGUGCCAUUACGUGAAUAACAGUAUAUGUCAUAAAUACACGCACCAUAAUAUGUUUGCUGUAUCUCUGUGUUUAUACAUACGUGUGUGUGUGUGUGUAUUAUAUGCAUGUAUGUAUGUGGAAACUCAUGACUCAAUGAAUUGUCAAAAUUAUUUUACUUGUGAAACUGUAUUAAAGUGUACUAUCGGACAUCCAUUAACACAAAUAAUGGACUUUUAAAAACUUAAACUUAAAAACGCUUAAUACUGACAAGCCAUGCCACACUGUCUGCCUUCAAACCAAAAGUGCCACACAGAAUAAUAGAUUUAAGUGCAAACUCCAUCAAGUCUGACUUCCAGAAGAGCAGAAACAACUUCUCCAAACAGGAGUAGGAAAACAUGGGUGUGUGGCUUACAACAAAAAUACUUGUGAGAUUACAUGUAAACAGUGCAAUCAAUCUUUUGUGUAUAACACUGCAUGUGGGCAUAUUUUGUUUUUUUCUGACACUCCUGUCACUCCACUUCUCAGGUCGUCAUACAUCUCCCAGACACAUGGAGACCUCCUGCAGUAGGCCACAUAAUGUCCAAGAGCAUCCUGGAUUAAGCCUCCUUUGAAAGCAAUGACUGCCCUUAAAGUAAAUCUCUCUCCUUGGAGCAUCAGAUUGGAGGGAAAUUCACUCAAAGGAAAUUCUAUGGAGUUGCUUCCCAGAGGGACACUGUGAUGGACUUUGGAUUGGCCUGAGACAGGGGGAGUCCGGAAGGUUAAGGCCUUCUUCCACUGCCGUCUGAAGAUAAGCGAUGCCAGAAGCCUCCAAUACAGCAACAGAAGUACAAACAAAUGUGGAGAUGUGGCACUGCGCGUCGAUUUGGAGAGCACCAGACUUCAGUUGGACAGGUUUGAAUAUUCCACUCAGCAGCUCUGCCCUCUGUAUGUAGGCCUGUGCAUUCAGACCCUUUGUGGUGAUGGUUUUCACUAGCUGGAGGAGGUUGUUGGAGUCCUCACCACAAACAAUAUUUGCAAAGGUGACACUAUCACAGAAAGCACAACAUAAGCAUUGACAAAAAGCAUCAAAUGCACAUGUGUUCAGCACAGAUAUUCUUGAUUUCCUGAGUUUAACAGGCUGUUGAUUAUUUCCAUUUUUCAACAGUUCCACUUUCAGUCUUUUCCCCCUCACAGAUGGAUCUGCAUGGAGCCAUUCAGGACAAGGAGAGAGGUAUGAAUUCCUCUUUCUCUUUUUGGGUGGAAGAGCUAGGCCUCUCCAGUUUUCAACAGGGUCUUCAUCUGUUGGAUGGAUGAUUGUGACAAUGUCAGACUUCCCAGAACAGGAAGCAUCCAUUUCUGGUUUUACACCUUCACUGCAAGUUAUGAACAAAUGCGCAUGUUGCCUUCAAUGAAGGACAGAUGUCGAGCAAUGAAUCGAUCCACCCGAAUUUUCAUGCUUUCAUGCUUGAAAAGGCCACGUUUAAUGUUUUUGAAUUCUGCUUCAGCAUUGGCUGAACUUGCAAUGAUUUCGGAAGUGAGGAAGUGAGGG